CCUUAGGUAGCUUAAAGUAAAGCAUCAGCCUCUUAAUCUGAAUAUGAACAAAAGUUCUCUAAGGA
rnacentral:tRNA from 1 species